GAAAAACAUCAGUUUCAAGGUGCAAUUUAAAGUGAGGCCCUGUAAACUUCAUCGAAAUGCAAACAUCACCCAACGAUUGAAGAAAACAAUCACCAUUUUUAAGGAGAUUUCCUAUGUGAUAACAUCUUUGCAGGGUGUUUUUAAUGCUUACCUAUUUUGGAGCCUGGUCAAAUCACUAUUGUACAUUGUCGUACUCUCCUACAAUAUGGUCAAAGAGUUGGAUUUAUUCGGCUUUUGGUUAAGUUCCGUAAUCAUAAAAAUUUUACUCGAUGUCUUCGCUCUAUAUGCGGCAAUUGAUGAAACAGUCAAUCAGUUAGGAUGCAUUAGGCAGCUCACUCUUGAAAUCCUCCUAACAGAUGACCUCUAAAAUAUCAACCAAACUAUUGAGAUGUUCGUCACCCAUCUAAUCCUAACCGAGUUAAGGGUCCGCCCUUUGGGACUUUUCGAAAUCUCCAACAAACUAUUCCUUGUGAUUUUCUCGGGCGUAAAUAGUUAUCUGGUUUUUAUUAUUCAAUCUGUUAUGGAAUUAAGACAAAACUAGUAACUAGUUAUUGUGUAGAAUAUAAGGACCAUUUGUCCAUAUUAUAUAUACACUAUCGUAAAAUAACUACAAUAUGCUAAUGCUUUACAA